rnacentral:rRNA from 1 species
CCUACGGGCGGCAGCAGUAGGGAAUCUUCGGCAAUGGGCGCAAGCCUGACCGAGCGAUGCCGCGUGGGGGAUGAAGGCCUUCGGGUUGUAAAGCUCUGUCAGAGGGGAAGAAAUGCAGGUGGUGAACAACCAUUCUGUUUGACGGUACCCUCAAAGGAAGCACCGGCUAACUCCGUGCCAGCAGCCGCGGUAAUACGGAGGGUGCGAGCGUUGUUCGGAAUUAUUGGGCGUAAAGCGCGUGUAGGCGGUUUGUUAAGUCUGAUGUGAAAGCCCCGGGCUCAACCUGGGAAGUGCAUUGGAUACUGGCAGACUUGAGUACGGGAGAGGAGAGUGGAAUUCCCAGUGUAGGAGCGAAAUCCGUAGAUAUUGGGAGGAACACCGGUGGCGAAGGCGGCUCUCUGGACCGAUACUGACGCUGAGACACGAAAGCGUGGGGAGCAAACAGGAUUAGAUACCCCUGUAGU